rnacentral:rRNA from 1 species
CGUGUGUGAUGAAGGCUUUCGGGUCGUAAAGCACUGUUGUAUGGGAAGAAAAGUUAAGGUAGGGAAUGACCUUAGCCUGACGGUACCAUACCAGAAAGGGACGGCUAAAUACGUGCCAGCAGCCGCGGUAAUACGUAUGUCCCGAGCGUUAUCCGGAUUUAUUGGGCGUAAAGCGAGCGCAGACGGUUGGUUAAGUCUGAUGUGAAAGCCCGGAGCUCAACUCCGGAAAGGCAUUGGAAACUGGUUAACUUGAGUGCAGUAGAGGUAAGUGGAACUCCAUGUGUAGCGGUG